rnacentral:lncRNA from 10 species
CCAGAGAACAGGAAAAUGAAUCACAGAACCAAAGAAGCAAGUUAUGGAGGAGCCCGGUGUCUCUAUACCAGUCCAGUGUAUUUCCACUUCUGCCUCUCCUCUCUCCUCCUUCAACAGAGUCGUUUUAUUUUUUCCUACCAAAGUGUUGCCUGAUCUGACAACAUCCCAAGGUUUCCGGCUUGUCCUAUGCUCUCCGUUGACUCCCCCGACUCUUGCCUGGGGACCCAUUCUAUGCCUGUCUCUCAGGGAUUAACUUCCUUCCCUUUGUCUUUCUUCCAUCUUCCAACCUGUUUUGCCCUUACUCUCAGCAGUCAAGGCUAAGAACCUAAGAACCUAGCCUUGCCUUCCAAGCAAGAAAGGAAAGGAAUCAGCUGCACAGAUCAGGAGAGAAGGUUUGGAUAUCAGCUGUCAUCACCGACAGGUCACUGGGACUCAACAUUUCCUGACACACACCAAUUUCCAAAACACAUCUGCACAACCAUCACCAACAGUGCCGACGGCGGUGCUACUGCCCCCUCCUUUAUCCCAGCAGCAGCGUCUCCUUCAUGAGUUGCUUUCUAACCCCCUCCCAUAGCAGAGCUACUUGAAUAGCAUGAAGAGGAUUUUCUUAAGUUCAGAUGACGUGAGUCCCGCUCCUUCUCCCCGAAAUGCAGAUGGUCAAGUCAGGAGCUGGUGGGUGACAGAGUAGGUGCUCUGCUAUGGGAGAAGCAGGCUGGGGCUUGAAGCCCACAUCCUUAGAUGCUGUUUCAUCCAGGACCUUGGAGGAGAAAGGCAUAGGCAGGUGCAGGGAUACAAGCACCUCUUGGGAUUUGAGGACAGAGGGGGCCUCUCUCCUUGACUCCAAAGGCCAGCCUGGGUCAGCCAAUGAUUGGGGAGGCAGCUUAUCUCCUAAAAGGAGCAUGGGCUUUGUGCCUUGAGUUCAAAUCCAGCUCUAGAUACAUAUUAAGCUAAAUAAUUUUUUAGAAAAUUACUUAAUUUCUCUGAGCCUUGGUUUCCUCAUUUAAAAAAUGGGAAUACUAAUAUUAAUAAUACUAGCAAUUCUCCCACAGUUGUUUUAAAUAAUCUUUAGUGUCUAGCAUAUAUGCUACGUGCUCAAUGAAGUGU